GAUGAAGAACGCAGCGAAAUGCGAUAAGUAAUGUGAAUUGCAGAAUUCAGUGAAUCAUCGAAUCUUUGAACGCACAUUGCGCCCCUUGGUAUUCCGGGGGGCAUGCCUGUUCGAGCGUCAUUGCUGCCCUCAAGCACGGCUUGUGUGUUGGGCCUCCGUCCUCCUCCCGGGGGACGGGCCCGAAAGGCAGCGGCGGCACCGCGUCCGGUCCUCGAGCGUAUGGGGCUUCGUCACCCGCUCUUGUAGGCCCGGCCGGCGCUUGCCGACACAUCAAUCUUUUUUCCAGGUUGACCUCGGAUCAGGUAGGGAUACCCGCUGAACUUAAGCAUAUCAAUAAGCGGAGGA
rnacentral:misc_RNA from 1 species